rnacentral:rRNA from 1 species
UACGAAGGACCCGAGCGUUAUCCGGAUUUAUUGGGUUUAAAGGGUGCGUAGGCGGAUUUACAAGUCAGUGGUGAAAUCUCCCAGCUCAACUGGGAAACUGCCAUUGAAACUGUUUAUCUUGAGUACAUUUGAGGCGGGCGGAAUGUGUCAUGUAGAGGUGAAAUUCUUAGAUAUGACAUAGAACACCAAUUGCGAAGGCAGCUCGUUACACGAAUAUUGACUCUGAGGCUCGAAAGCGUGGGGAUCAAACAGG